rnacentral:tRNA from 1 species
CAGGACAUAGUUAAAAAUAUAAUAUUGGCUUUGGGUGUCAAAGAUAGAGAUGAAAAUUUCUUUUUCUGA